rnacentral:rRNA from 1 species
UCGAGAAUCUUUCACAAUGGGGGCAACCCUGAUGGAGCGACGCCGCGUGGAGGAUAAGGUCUUCGGAUUGUAAACUCCUGUCAUGUGUGAACAAGGCAGCCAGGUUAAUAACUUGUGCUGAUUGAUGGUAACACAAGAGGAAGAGACGGCUAACUCUGUGCCAGCAGCCGCGGUAAUACAGAGGUCUCAAGCGUUGUUCGGAAUCACUGGGCGUAAAGGGUGCGUAGGUGGCGUGGUAAGUCAGAUGUGAAAGCCCGGGGCUCAACCUCGGAAUUGCAUCCGAUACUGCUAUGCUUGAGUACUGGAGAGGUGACUAGAAUUCUAGGUGUAGCAGUGAAAUGCGUAGAUAUCUAGAGGAAUACCAAAGGCGUAGGCAGGUCACUGGACAGUUACUGACACUGAGGCACGAAGGCCAGGGGAGCGAACG